rnacentral:rRNA from 1 species
UACGUAGGGGGCAAGCGUUGUCCGGAUUUAUUGGGCGUAAAGAGCGUGUAGGCGGCUUUACAGGUCCGUUGUGAAAACUCGAGGCUCAACCUCGAGACGCCGGUGGAAACCGUAAGGCUAGAGUCCGGAAGAGGAGAGUGGAAUUCCUGGUGUAGCGGUGAAAUGCGCAGAUAUCAGGAAGAACACCCGUGGCAAAGGCGGCUCUCUGGGACGGUACUGACGCUGAGACGCGAAAGCGUGGGGAGCGAACAGG